GUGGAAUUAGGUGUGGGCAAAACAACCAUGAAUGUUUGGGAGAGAGAGAGAGAGAGAAGUGUCAAAAUAUAGGACUUUGCCCUCAUUUUGCUUCACAAGUGUCUUGAGUCCGCAUUCUACUGAAGCUGAAAUUGAUAAUGCUUCUUGCUGUGCUAAUCAAUGUCCUCUGUGCAGCCCCCAUCAGCAGGUUCACACUCAAAGAAAAGGUCUUAGCCUGACAUCAAAGGAAUGGCGGGCAGAUAAACCUGUUUAUGUUUUAAAUU